CUCUCUCUCUCUCUCUCACACACACACAAAAAAAAAAUGCUUUGUCGUCUUUACUUUACCUAAUGAAAUGACUCCAUACAAAAGGAGACCCCCUUCCCUACAAUCCUACUCAUGAAAUGCUGUCUUUGAUGGGCUUAAUUCAUCAUCAUUAGUUCCUAUUUCCCCUUGACACCUAAUUUUUUAAACCUUAUCUUCUUCUAUCUCAACAGGGC
rnacentral:lncRNA from 1 species